rnacentral:lncRNA from 1 species
GGAUGGCUCGGACUUUAUCAGGAUCGACUUCAAUGCCCUUUUGGCUGACAAUGAAGCCUAAUAACUUUCCGGAUCUGACGCCGAAUGUACAUUUGUUAGGAUUCAAUCGAAGCUUGUACUUUCUCAACCUUUCGAACAUCUUUGUCAGAUAUUCAACAUGUUGCUCCUCAUCUGUUGACUUUACAAUCAUGUCGUCCACAUACACCUCGACUUCUUUGUGAAUCAUGUCAUGAAACAGAGUAGUCAUCCCUCUUUGGUAGGUGGCACCAGCAUUUAUUAGGCCGAA